AACGAACGCUGGCGGCAGGCUUAACACAUGCAAGUCGAGCGCCCCGCCAGGGGAGCGGCAGACGGGCGAGUAACGCGUGGGAACGUACCUUUUGGUUCGGAACAACUCCGGGAAACUGGAGCUAAUACCGGAUAAGCCCUAACGGGGAAAGAUUUAUCGCCGAAAGAUCGGCCCGCGUCUGAUUAGCUAGUUGGUGAGGUAACGGCUCACCAAGGCGACGAUCAGUAGCUGGUCUGAGAGGAUGAUCAGCCACACUGGGACUGAGACACGGCCCAGACUCCUACGGGAGGCAGCAGUGGGGAAUAUUGGACAAUGGGCGCAAGCCUGAUCCAGCCACGCCGCGUGAGUGAUGAAGGCCUUAGGGUUGUAAAGCUCUUUUGUCCGGGAAGAUAAUGACUGUACCGGAAGAGUAAGCCCCGGCUAACUUCGUG
rnacentral:rRNA from 1 species